AGAGUUUGAUCCUGGCUCAGAUUGAACGCUGGCGGCAGGCCUAACACAUGCAAGUCGAACGGUAACAGGAAGCAGCUUGCUGCUUCGCUGACGAGUGGCGGACGGGUGAGUAAUGUCUGGGAAACUGCCUGAUGGAGGGGGAUAACUACUGGAAACGGUAGCUAAUACCGCAUAACGUCGCAAGACCAAAGAGGGGGACCUUCGGGCCUCUUGCCAUCGGAUGUGCCCAGAUGGGAUUAGCUUGUUGGUGGGGUAACGGCUCACCAAGGCGACGAUCCCUAGCUGGUCUGAGAGGAUGACCAGCCACACUGGAACUGAGACACGGUCCAGACUCCUACGGGAGGCAGCAGUGGGGAAUAUUGCACAAUGGGCGCAAGCCUGAUGCAGCCAUGCCGCGUGUAUGAAGAAGGCCUUCGGGUUGUAAAGUACUUUCAGCGGGGAGGAAGGGAGUAAAGUUAAUACCUUUGCUCAUUGACGUUACCCGCAGAAGAAGCACCGGCUAACUCCGUGCCAGCAGCCGCGGUAAUACGGAGGGUGCAAGCGUUAAUCGGAAUUACUGGGCGUAAAGCGCACGCAGGCGGUUUGUUAAGUCAGAUGUGAAAUCCCCGGGCUCAACCUGGGAACUGCAUCUGAUACUGGCAAGCUUGAGUCUCGUAGAGGGGGGUAGAACUCCAGGUGUAGCGGUGAAAUGCGUAGAGAUCUGGAGGAAUACCGGUGGCGAAGGCGGCCCCCUGGACGAAGACUGACGCUCAGGUGCGAAAGCGUGGGGAGCAAACAGGAUUAGAUACCCUGNUAGUCCACGCCGUAAACGAUGUCGACUUGGAGGUUGUGCCCUUGAGGCGUGGCUUCCGGAGCUAACGCGUUAAGUCGACCGCCUGGGGAGUACGGCCGCAAGGUUAAAACUCAAAUGAANUUGACGGGGGCCCGCACAAGCGGUGGAGCAUGUGGUUUAAUUCGAUGCAACGCGAAGAACCUUACCUGGUCUUGACAUCCACGGAAGUUUUCAGAGAUGAGAAUGUGCCUUCGGGAACCGUGAGACAGGUGCUGCAUGGCUGUCGUCAGCUCGUGUUGUGAAAUGUUGGGUUAAGUCCCGCAACGAGCGCAACCCUUAUCCUUUGUUGCCAGCGGUCCGGCCGGGAACUCAAAGGAGACUGCCAGUGAUAAACUGGAGGAAGGUGGGGAUGACGUCAAGUCAUCAUGGCCCUUACGACCAGGGCUACACACGUGCUACAAUGGCGCAUACAAAGAGAAGCGACCUCGCGAGAGCAAGCGGACCUCAUAAAGUGCGUCGUAGUCCGGAUUGGAGUCUGCAACUCGACUCCAUGAAGUCGGAAUCGCUAGUAAUCGUGGAUCAGAAUGCCACGGUGAAUACGUUCCCGGGCCUUGUACACACCGCCCGUCACACCAUGGGAGUGGGUUGCAAAAGAAGUAGGUAGCUUAACCUUCGGGAGGGCGCUUACCACUUUGUGAUUCAUGACUGGGGUGAAGUCGUAACAAGGUAACCGUAGGGGAACCUGCGGCUGGAACACCUCCUUACC
rnacentral:rRNA from 1 species